ensembl:lncRNA
GGGGCGUCAUCAAGAUGGCGUCGGUGUAGGUCACAUUUUCUUGGCUCUUUCCUGAAUUUUGUGCAAAACUUGAUUUUUCUUCCCCUUUAAAGACUCUUUUGUCUUCAAUGCGCUGAUUUUAAUUUUGUUCACGCUCCCCAUACAUCAACGAUACUGUGUUUUGCGGAUUCCUAAUUUUUUUCCCCUCAGCGUCCAUUAACGUUGUUGCACAAUACGUGGAUUUGAGCUCUCCUGUGUGGAGUCAUGAUGGAGGUGGACCAUACUCCGAAAUCUGAAAGUGUUAAACGUAUGCAAAAUUACUCCAAAACUGCCCAUGAUCUGGAUUCAUUGGAUGUGUGUCUUCCCGAGUCUCCAGCGGCAAGCCCGUUACCGAAAAUGCGACGCCCGGCCUCAGACCCUUCAAAUGCCGUUUUGCUGGAGGCAAUAGAGAGACUGGGUAAGAAGCAGGAUGACUUUAUGCAGAAACUUCUGGAGGUCAAGAAAUCGGUUGCAUCCAAUUCCACCCUUAUCUCCGAUCUCACAACAUGGGUUGACGCCGUUGAUAUAAAAUCAGAGAAUACAGCUGUUAAAUUUGAUAAAAUGGACUCCCAACUGUCUUCGCUGGCUGCAGAAAGCAAACGCUUAUGGGAUAAAGUGGAUGAGCUGGAUGCCUACAAGAGGCGUUGGAAUCUGAGGAUUUCGGGUGUGUUGGAGGAAGAUGGGGAGAAUGUCAAGAUGGUAAUAAUGGACAUUUUUCUUCAGGUGUCACCAGGCUUAGCAGAUGUUCUGCAAUCUUCGAUUGAUGUUGCGCACAGGCUUGGCCCUAAACUGGGCAAUGCACGCCCUCGCACGAUAAUUGUACAAUUUCUCUCUCGAUCUCACCGCGAUCGUAUCUGGGCUGAUGCAAGAAGAUCAGAAGUGCUCAAACAGAAAAAGAUUAGGAUCUCAGAAGACCUGACGCAGAGGACGAAGGAAGCACGGAACAAGCUGUGGCCUUUGGUGGAGAAAGCCCGAAAGGAGG